rnacentral:rRNA from 1 species
AGGCGAACCGGGGGAACUGAAACAUCUAAGUACCCCGAGGAAAAGAAAUCAACCGAGAUUCCCCCAGUAGCGGCGAGCGAACGGGGAGGAGCCCAGAGCCUGAAUCAGUGUGUGUGUUAGUGGAAGCGUCUGGAAAGGCGCGCGAUACAGGGUGACAGCCCCGUACACAAAAAUGCACAUAUUGUGAGCUCGAUGAGUAGGGCGGGACACGUGGUAUCCUGUCUGAAUAUGGGGGGACCAUCCUCCAAGGCUAAAUACUCCUGACUGACCGAUAGUGAACCAGUACCGUGAGGGAAAGGCGAAAAGAACCCCGGCGAGGGGAGUGAAAAAGAACCUGAAACCGUGUACGUACAAGCAGUGGGAGCCUCUUUAUGGGGUGACUGCGUACCUUUUGUAUAAUGGGUCAGCGACUUAUAUUCUGUAGCAAGGUUAACCGAAUAGGGGAGCCGAAGGGAAACCGAGUCUUAACUGGGCGUUAAGUUGCAGGGUAUAGACCCGAAACCCGGUGAUCUAGCCAUGGGCAGGUUGAAGGUUGGGUAACACUAACUGGAGGACCGAACCGACUAAUGUUGAAAAAUUAGCGGAUGACUUGUGGCUGGGGGUGAAAGGCCAAUCAAACCGGGAGAUAGCUGGUUCUCCCCGAAAGCUAUUUAGGUAGCGCCUCGUGAAUUCAUCUCCGGGGGUAGAGCACUGUUUCGGCAAGGGGGUCAUCCCGACUUACCAACCCGAUGCAAACUGCGAAUACCGGAGAAUGUUAUCACGGGAGACACACGGCGGGUGCUAACGUCCGUCGUGAAGAGGGAAACAACCCAGACCGCCAGCUAAGGUCCCAAAGUCAUGGUUAAGUGGGAAACGAUGUGGGAAGGCCCAGACAGCCAGGAUGUUGGCUUAGAAGCAGCCAUCAUUUAAAGAAAGCGUAAUAGCUCACUGGUCGAGUCGGCCUGCGCGGAAGAUGUAACGGGGCUAAACCAUGCACCGAAGCUGCGGCAGCGACACUAUGUGUUGUUGGGUAGGGGAGCGUUCUGUAAGCCUGUGAAGGUGGCCUGUGAGGGUUGCUGGAGGUAUCAGAAGUGCGAAUGCUGACAUAAGUAACGAUAAAGCGGGUGAAAAGCCCGCUCGCCGGAAGACCAAGGGUUCCUGUCCAACGUUAAUCGGGGCAGGGUGAGUCGACCCCUAAGGCGAGGCCGAAAGGCGUAGUCGAUGGGAAACAGGUUAAUAUUCCUGUACUUGGUGUUACUGCGAAGGGGGGACGGAGAAGGCUAUGUUGGCCGGGCGACGGUUGUCCCGGUUUAAGCGUGUAGGCUGGUUUUCCAGGCAAAUCCGGAAAACCAAGGCUGAGGCGUGAUGACGAGGCACUACGGUGCUGAAGCGACAAAUGCCCUGCUUCCAGGAAAAGCCUCUAAGCAUCAGGUAACAUCAAAUCGUACCCCAAACCGACACAGGUGGUCAGGUAGAGAAUACCAAGGCGCUUGAGAGAACUCGGGUGAAGGAACUAGGCAAAAUGGUGCCGUAACUUCGGGAGAAGGCACGCUGAUAUGUAGGUGAAGCGACUUGCUCGUGGAGCUGAAAUCAGUCGAAGAUACCAGCUGGCUGCAACUGUUUAUUAAAAACACAGCACUGUGCAAACACGAAAGUGGACGUAUACGGUGUGACGCCUGCCCGGUGCCGGAAGGUUAAUUGAUGGGGUUAGCGGUAACGCGAAGCUCUUGAUCGAAGCCCCGGUAAACGGCGGCCGUAACUAUAACGGUCCUAAGGUAGCGAAAUUCCUUGUCGGGU